rnacentral:tRNA from 1 species
GCGUGCAUAGUAUUAAUGGUAGUAUGACGGUCUUCCAAACCGAUGGUCGGGGUUCGAAUCCCCGUGCCCGCACCA